GGCGAACGGGUGAGUAACACGUGAGUAACCUGCCCUAGGCUUUGGGAUAACCCUCGGAAACGGGGGCUAAUACCGAAUAUGACUUCCUGCCGCAUGGUGGGGGGUGGAAAGUUUUUCGGCCUGGGAUGGACUCGCGGCCUAUCAGCUUGUUGGUGGGGUAAUGGCCUACCAAGGCGACGACGGGUAGCCGGCCUGAGAGGGCGACCGGCCACACUGGGACUGAGACACGGCCCAGACUCCUACGGGAGGCAGCAGUGGGGAAUAUUGCACAAUGGGCGGAAGCCUGAUGCAGCGACGCCGCGUGAGGGAUGACGGCCUUCGGGUUGUAAACCUCUUUCAGCAGGGACGAAGCGAGAGUGACGGUACCUGCAGAAGAAGCACCGGCCAACUACGUGCCAGCAGCCGCGGUAAGACGUAGGGUGCGAGCGUUGUCCGGAUUUAUUGGGCGUAAAGAGCUCGUAGGCGGCUUGUCGCGUCGACUGUGAAAACCCGCGGCUCAACCGCGGGCUUGCAGCCGAUACGGGCAGGCUAGAGUUCGGUAGGGGAGACUGGAAUUCCUGGUGUAGCGGUGAAAUGCGCAGAUAUCAGGAGGAACACCGGUGGCGAAGGCGGGUCUCUGGGCCGAUACUGACGCUGAGGAG
rnacentral:rRNA from 1 species